ACGCUUAACACAUGCAAGUCGAACGCACCUUCGGGUGAGUGGCAGACGAGCGAGUAACGCGUACCCAACCUGCCCUUGAGUGGGGAACAACCAUGGAGACAUGGCUAAUUCCCCAUACGUCCCACAAAAUGAGAAUAUGUGGGAGAAAGAUUUAUCGCUCAAGGAGGGGGGUGCGUCCUAUCAGGUUGUUGGUGAGGUAACGGCUCACCAAGCCUAUGACGGGUAGCCGGUCUGAGAUGAUGUCC
rnacentral:rRNA from 1 species